UACAGAGGGUGCAAGCGUUAAUCGGAAUUACUGGGCGUAAAGCGCGCGCAGGCGGCCUUUUAAGUCUGACGGUGAAAUGCCGGGGCUCAACCCCGUGCCCGCCGCGGAUACUGGGAGGCUGGAGACAUGUAGAGGCAAGCGGAAUUCCGGGUGUAGCGGUGGAAUGCGUAGAGAUCCGGAAGAACACCGGAGGCGAAGGCGGCUUGCUGGGCAUUGUCUGACGCUGAGGCGCGAAAGCGUGGGGAGCGAACAGG
rnacentral:rRNA from 1 species